GGCUGGGAGCCGGGCGCCACUGUGGCCGCUGCUUUUCUGAGGGAAAAGAGCGCGGAGUGGGCCAGGUUUUGCAGGCCGGGCCAAGGUGGAGAAAAGGUUCCUGUGGAGCCUCAGGCCGGUGUGCUUUUUUUCCCGGGACUGAGCUUCUGCAGCCCUGAGGCCUGGAGGCCCGGGCGGUAGUAACUGUGCCGGACCAGGUUCGUGGGUGCGGCCUGUGGUGCAGUUGGAGACCGAGGCCCCGCGCAUCCUCGUCCGCGCUUCAGCCACUUAGGCUCGGCCGUAGCGAAAAGGCCCAAGAGGGAAGUCAGAGGUGAACGCCCCAGGAUGAAGGUCCCCUGCAAAACGCUGGGACCUAGAUUUGGGCCCUGCCAGUUUCCAGAGAAGGCGCUUGAGAAGGAGAAACGAAUCGCUGCUGCUCUUCUAAAAGCCGGUUCCCUCUCUGGUGUCUGUGGACCCUGCUUCUGAAGUACAUGAACCUUGAGGAAAAUUGACCAGUUCUAGCAGUUCUAAAAUCAUGGCUC
rnacentral:lncRNA from 1 species